rnacentral:lncRNA from 1 species
CUACCAGCAUGUGUUGGACUCUGAGGAGAGGUUUGCCUUAGCACAAGUGAUCACUGACAUCAUGCACAGGCACCCAAGGUUUGAUCUGAGCCACCCCUAUUUCAUUAAGGCCUACCGAGAUGAAUGCACCUGCCUGAGGCUUCACUUGCAGCUAGUGAAGGGCAUCCUCAAUCAGCACAUAGAGCGUCAGCGGGAGUAUGUCCAGAGGCUUUGGCAAGAAGGCCGUCCAGAUGAUAGCAGUAACUUUGGACUUCCCCUUAACAUCAUUUGCAAGCAGCUUAUUUCCAUCAACAAUAGCUGCUUUGAAAAACGUUUAUCUACUGGAGUUCCACCCUUCCCUGGGCCUGGCAUCUCUCAUCCCCCGAUCCCUUG